UCCAGUCUUGCCACUAACAUCGGAAACAAAUCAAACAAAGAAAAAAAUUAACUAAUAAUCUAUGUAACAUUUUAUCAAACAUCUAACAUGCAUGUUUUAAAACUUAGUGUUUUUAUGAAUUUAAAACAUAAAACACUAUCUCCAUACUUUAAUUCCAACCUUAUACCAACUGAACCCUUCAUGGUUCCCACAAUUUUAAAUCCUCCCACAACCAUUUUCAGAAAUACAAUCACUAUUUACUUAAUUUUUAUGAACUUAACAUAGCUUACCUUUUGUCCUUGCUUCAAAAUUGAUUUUGGUUGAAUUAAGUCUUUCCUUUGAUAGUACUCCACCCUAAUUCUUCUUAUAUGCUUGGUAAUUGGAGAAAUUGAGAAUUGAUUUUGAGAUUGUAGAGGAGCCGAACCUGUUUGGAACGGAUGGGAGAGAAAUUUUUUUUUAUUCUUCUUUCUAUUGGAACGGUGGGAAGUUAGGCUUAGAAAAUGAAAGAGCUAUAGUAUGGACAUUAUAUCAAAUAAAACUCAAUUCUCUCUCCCAUAAUUG
rnacentral:lncRNA from 1 species